CUGUGCCACUUUUUGACCAAGCAUGGCUCACUGUGAGGGCAGGAGGAAGAGCCAGGCACAUUUAAAGUCUACUAACCAAAGGCGAUUAACAGCAGCUCCCCACAAGAGAUCAGAGGACAGGAGGAGGAGAUUACUUCAUGUCAUCGAGGAGUUAACAUGGGGUCGAAGAGCAAACCCGGAACAUGGCUGAAAAAUGUGGAAAACAGACUGGACAAACCACCAUGAAAGAGGCUGCUGCACAUGCUGAAAGAAUCAGGGAGGGGCUGUCUGUAUCAUUGGAGCAACUCCGUCAUGCUGCCAGGCAGCAGCCACACAAAGCCCCAUUCAUUCACUAUCACCACAUCAAACUCAGCAUCAGAAGAUAAUUCUCUUGAGUUGGUUUCUCGAAGCAGCAAUGAGCCUCAAAGCUGUUACUGCAGCUGCUUGUCCCGCA